UAAAACCGAACCAUCACCACGGUUCUAUUCGACAUCCCGACACCCUUCCCCACUCUCGAACAUACCUUCUGAAUAAGCAAACAAGCACCACUCGAAACUCUGUUGAGUCGUGUAACCUGCAACAAGAUAGACGCCGCCGGAAUCCAUUCGGGUUCACAACAUAGUUUGCUCAAUCUUACACCCACGCCGGGACCUCACCACUUGCCGGAGUUACGAAGACGACUCGGAGAUCACACCGGGGACUCGGCUCGACUCGCUACCACCCGUAACCCGCAAUCUUUUACAUUCCGUAAUGAACGUAUGUAAACAAGGAACGUGAAGACGACACCGAAACGCAAAAGCCAUACUUGCUCAGUCGCAGCCACCGGAGAACCAACCUCAUCGGAGAAACUCAUCGGAGAAGUCGAGAACAUCAGAAAGCCUCCACCUCGUUCUUGUUUCGAUUCGGAUAAUUGCUCUCGUUUGUUCACUUGGAUUAUUCUCCAUCUUUACUCGUACGUUACUUACAAGAAAUCGCAACGCAAUCAAUGUGAGUAUACUCGAUCCCAUUUUCGUUUUAAACACUUUUGGGUGCAACAUGUAUUCUAUACAAAAACACGCAACGUUUGAAUCUUGUUUUUAUCACACUCUAUCCACAUUUAAACAUGAAACAAUUUGAUGCUUGUAAACUCAUAUGCUACGCAAGUUGAACGUGUUAAUCUCAAUGCCCUUGAGUCUUGGGGUAUUGCGAUGUUGAACGAUAUUUGAA